GUUCUACACCUUAGCAAGAGUAUGGCUUUAUGAUUUGUGAUUUAGCUUGUUAUUUACUACCUGUGAAAAGUUGCAAAUUUGAACAUAGGUCUGAGGCAUUCCUAGUUAGUAGCUGACUGAAUCUCCACUUGUAAUAAAGUAAAUUUUUAUUUUUAUUUGCCGAAUUAUUUCGUUGCUCCAUUGCUUUUAUGAAUUACAGAUGGUUAUCCAAAGGGGAAAUUCAAAUGUUUUUGUAGUUCUUGGCAUCAAUGCUUCUAUAGUUUCCUUAUAACUUAGUUCUUUAUGUUUUUAUUUGGAAUGAUGAUGAAUAGUUAUGUUCUGAAUCACAUUUGACUGGGAUGGGGUCUUGCAGGAGGAGUUUGAUGAGCAUGCUGAAAAAGCCAAGACUCUUCCAGAGUCAACAACCAAUGAGAACAAGCUCAUCCUCUAUGGGCUGUACAAGCAAGCCACUGUUGGUGCAGUGAACACCAGCCGCCCGGGAAUAUUCAAUAUGAGGGACAGAGCAAAGUGGGAUGCAUGGAAGGCUGUUGAAGG